AAUACCACCCUUUAAUGUUUGAUGUUCUAACGUUGGCCCGUAAUCCGGGUUGCGGACAGUGUCUGGUGGGUAGUUUGACUGGGGCGGUCUCCUCCUAAAGAGUAACGGAGGAGCACGAAGGUUGGCUAAUCCUGGUCGGACAUCAGGAGGUUAGUGCAAUGGCAUAAGCCAGCUUGACUGCGAGCGUGACGGCGCGAGCAGGUGCGAAAGCAGGUCAUAGUGAUCCGGUGGUUCUGAAUGGAAGGGCCAUCGCUCAACGGAUAAAAGGUACUCCGGGGAUAACAGGCUGAUACCGCCCAAGAGUUCAUAUCGACGGCGGUGUUUGGCACCUCGAUGUCGGCUCAUCACAUCCUGGGGCUGAAGUAGGUCCCAAGGGUAUGGCUGUUCGCCAUUUAAAGUGGUACGCGAGCUGGGUUUAGAACGUCGUGAGACAGUUCGGUCCCUAUCUGCCGUGGGCGCUGGAGAACUGAGGGGGGCUGCUCCUAGUACGAGAGGACCGGAGUGGACGCAUCACUGGUGUUCGGGUUGUCAUGCCAAUGGCACUGCCCGGUAGCUAAAUGCGGAAGAGAUAAGUGCUGAAAGCAUCUAAGCACGAAACUUGCCCCGAGAUGAGUUCUCCCUGACUCCUUGAGGGUCCUGAAGGAACGUUGAAGACGACGACGUUGAUAGGCCGGGUGUGUAAGCGCAGCGAUGCGUUGAGCUAACCGGUACUAAUGAACCGUGAGGCUUAACCUU
rnacentral:rRNA from 1 species